CAUAACAAAGGAUUAUUUAUGUGGUGAAGCCAUGAUUCAAGGAAAACUAUCAAAAAUAUUUCAUCAGUUGAGUUUCUCUAAACAGAUACUUCACUAACUCUAAUGAGAACUUUCUCAAGAAACUACAGAAGAAGGUGUUCUGCAUAAUUUUGGGAGUAUACUCAGAAAGAAGAAGCUUAGAAUCUCAGCUGAGAGUCAGUGGAAGCUUACCCAUUGCAGACCACCCCUACAGGCAUGAACAACUAGAAAAUCUGCAUAAAAUAGACAAAAUAUCUCUUGAACUCAUCAGAGAGAUUCUCAGGAAAUGAAGACUUCAGGAAGCAAGGUCGCCCACAAGAAGAAAAAUGAAAGCUAAAUAGAUGACUAUUAUGAAUUUCCAAACUAUGUGUUGAAGAAGGCAAAAUCCCAGGAUGAAAUAAUCCUAAAUUCUGCAUCAUCUCUAGGAGGAUAGUUAUAUACACAUCAGAAAAACUGUUUUGGACAUUAUGUGCCAGAGAAAUAAACUUUUAUCUGUGC